rnacentral:rRNA from 1 species
AUUGAACGCUGGCGGCAGGCUUAACACAUGCAAGUCGAGCGGAGAUGAGGUGCUUGCACCUUAUCUUAGCGGCGGACGGGUGAGUAAUGCUUAGGAAUCUGCCUAUUAGUGGGGGACAACAUUCCGAAAGGAAUGCUAAUACCGCAUACGUCCUACGGGAGAAAGCAGGGGAUCUUCGGACCUUGCGCUAAUAGAUGAGCCUAAGUCAGGAUUAGCUAGUUGGUGGGGUAAAGGCCUACCAAGGCGACGAUCUGUAGCGGGUCUGAGAGGAUGCAGCGCACCUAGGGGUCAGAGACACGGCCCAGACGCCUAGGGGAGGCAGCAGUGGGGAAUAUUGGAAAAUGGGGGGAACCCUGAUCCAGCCAGGCCGCGUGUGUGAAGAAGGCCAUAUGGUUGUAAAGCACUUUAAGCGAGGAGGAGGCUACUGAGACUAAUACUCUUGGAUAGUGGACGUUACUCGCAGAAUAAGCACCGGCUAACUCUGUGCCAGCCGCCGCCGUAACAC